AAUUUUAACAUUUCAUAUCGCCUAUCUCAUCGUGAAUGUUAAACAGUAAAAAAAGAAGAGUGUGAAACAUUAAACAAAAAAGAGUCUUCUUUAAACAAGAGUAAUUGGUGGUCCUUUUUAUUAUCUAGAAUGGAAGACGAUUUCAUCCCUACUAAAGCCAAGUUAGCAAUUGUACUAAAAUACCUAGCUUCUGGAGAUUUACAACGCCAUAUUGCCUCAUGUCGGCAUAUUCUGUCCGAUGUGUGAAGGGAAUUGAAAAUGAAAUUCCAGAGUGUACAGAACACACCUUGUUGGAGAUAUCUCAUUGCUUUCGAACACAAUGGAAUUUUCAAAACAAGGUCGGGGCUAUCAAUGGCAAACACAUAGCUAUCAAAGCCCGACCAAAACAUUUUAUAAUUAUAAAGGAUUCCAUUCUAUUGUGUUGAUGGCCACAUGUGAUGCCAAUUAUAAAUUCACAUACUUGGAUGUUGGUGCUUACGGAAGUGAAGGACACUCCAAUAUUAUGAAGAAUUCGAUAUUCGGUAUCAGCAUACCUAAUGACAGCAGCCAAUUUACGGCCGACGGCUUUAUCGUUGGCAAAGAAGGAAGAAAUUUUCAAUUAUCGUUUAAGUAGAGCAAGACUAUGUAUUGAAAACGCGUUUGGAAUUUUGAGUACAAAUUGGCUUUGCCUCAGAAAGGUAUUAUUUUGUCAUCCGGAUCAGGCACGA